rnacentral:lncRNA from 1 species
CAUGAUAUUAUUUAUUUUAGAGAGUUUGUUUGAUUGUGUACAAUACACUAACAGGCUGUAACUAUUUAUAAAUAUCAUUUCUCAGUUGUCUACAUGAUUUUGACAUCAUUCAUAAUGAUAUCACAAAAUCAUUAGACAAUAGUGACAAUCACUAAAACAACAUUGUUGGAAUUGAAAAUAAGCUCGACGAUUCUUAAGAUCA